UAUAACCGGGACUGUUAUCUUUAUCGGCGGAUUGGAGGGCCCGUGUUGGUUUCCAAAGUAUUUUGUUUCCUUGUAACUCUCCAGGUGUCACUAUGACCGCCGUAGAGCUGCACGUGUUGCGGUCGGCCGCUUUGAGAAAAUUUCUAAUUCCCAUGAGUUUGGCCAGUGUCGGUCGUUGUAUGAAGCCGCAUAGUUCGGCAGCGAAGCGUGCCUUUCAAACCAACAUGUCUUAUACCACGGUUGAGAAGGGAACACCAAACACGACGAACUACAGGAUAUAUUUCAAAAAUGACAAAGGACCAGUUUCUCCGUUACACGACAUACCGUUGUACGCUGAUGAGGCAAAAAAGAUAUUCAAUAUGAUAGUUGAAGUGCCUCGAUGGACGAAUGCCAAGAUGGAGAUAAGCUUGAAGGAAACAUUGAAUCCAAUCAAGCAGGAUGUUAAGAAAGGAAAACUUAGGUUUGUUGCAAAUUGUUUCCCUCAUCACGGCUACAUUUGGAACUAUGGAGCCAUUCCACAGACGUGGGAAAAUCCUGAAGUAUUGGAUGAAGCAACAGGCUGCAAAGGUGACAAUGACCCUAUAGAUGUCCUUGAAAUUGGUUACAAAGUAGCGAAGCGUGGUGAGGUUUUGAAAGUCAAGGUGCUUGGUACUGUUGCACUAAUCGAUGAAGGUGAAACUGACUGGAAAAUUCUUACCAUCGAUGUUAAUGAUCCCUUGGCUGACCAGUUAAAUGAUGUUAAUGACAUCGAGAAACAUUUCCCUGGGCUACUGAAGGCAACCAUAGAAUGGUUCAAAAUAUAUAAGAUUCCUGAUGGUAAACCAGAAAAUCAAUUUGCUUUCAAUGGAGAAGCAAAACCUAAGGAUUUUGCAUUACAUGUCAUUGACGAAGUGCAUCAGCAUUGGCAAAGCCUCAUAAAAAAAGAAUCACCAGCUGGUGGUAUUGCUUGCACCAACGUAAGCGUAGAAGGCAGUCCUUUCAAAACUACUGUUAGUAGUAUGGAGGAAGUACUUGAAAAGGCUCCUGAGGCUGGAGAUGCACCACCCAUUGACAGUUCUGCGGAUAAGAGUUAUUUCGUGAGAGUCGAAGAAUUGAAAAACAAAUUAUAAUAUUCCAUAGCUUUGCUGUUGAUGUUCCCAAAUCACUUAUAUCUUCACGUUUGUUACCUAGUGUCAAAAAAUAAACUUGAUUUGAUAAGUGGCAUUACAUACAUUUGAAGUGAAGCAUAGAAGGUUCAUCUCCGAUGUUGUUUCCACUUUGCAAAACGAUGCCUCGAAGGAUUUUAAAUGUAUAUGUAAUUCCUUGCAGAUUGUUAAUUCACUAGAAUGUUUUAUGCAGAAGAAGGUUUAGCAUGAGACAAUCUCAGUGUACCUCUAUAUUGACUCAUAGUUUUCAAAAUCCUGAGAAAAUUUUUGUGUAUUGUUACUGGUUAAUUGUAUUAUAACAGAACACGCCUUCCCCAUACUUGCUCAUUCACUGACAUUUGAUUAUAGCCCAGUCAAUAUGUCCAAAUAAUCAACCUGAAAUAACAUUAAUUCUUUCCUGGAUUUUUCUUGUUUUAAUAGUUGUAGGUGGGACGGGCGUCACUGGUAGUGUAAAUUCAACGUGGUGACCAAAUUUGAUGAAAAAUGGGUUUUCCUAAAUAACUCGGUCAUUUUCUAUUUUAACAAAAAAUUGUAAAGACCGAACUUGUAGGAAGUUCAAUUUUCUACAACUUUGGUCUUUGCAGUUUUUUUUUUCUAAUAUCGAUAGUUUUGAAUCAAACCUAAAAAAGUGGCUAAGUAAAACUAUUGCAUCAUCUCGUUUAUUUUGAACUUUAGGACAUAAAUGAACAUAAUCAAAUUUUUAGUGAAUUAAAUGUCCUACAAAUUUGGUGCUUACAAUUUAUCGAUUAACUUGAAAAUGGUCGAGUUAUUCAAGAAAAACCAUUUUUCAUCAAAUUCAGAAUGGCGGACAUAUGCAACAGCAGGAUUUGAUGCCAUUUUGAAUUUACACUACCAUUGACCCCCCCCCUCACCAAUUAAAACAAGAAAAAUCGGAAAAAGAAUUAUUGCAAUGUUAAAAGUACACAGUAAUAGACUGGGCUGUUACCUUCCUGGUGGAGAGUUUAUCAAUACUAAAGUUCUACAGAUAUUUUUUGUAUCAUUAGUUUCAAUGAUGGUCAAUGGUUAUUUAUUUAUUUCCGUAUAAUUGUGGGAUCAGGAUAGGAUCGAGUGGCUGUGUCUAGCAGUCAUUUGUUUCCACUAGGUUAGCUAUUCCUUUGUUGAAUGUUAUACGAUAUUUGUCUUUCAUAAAUAAAUAAACUCAAUUAUUCCAAGUA